rnacentral:rRNA from 1 species
GACGAACGCUGGCGGCGUGCUUAACACAUGCAAGUCGUACGGUAAGGCCCUUUCGGGGGUACACGAGUGGCGAACGGGUGAGUAACACGUGCGUAACCUGCCCACAACUUUGGGAUAACGCUAGGAAACUGGUGCUAAUACUGGAUAUGUGCUCCUGCUGCAUGGUGGGGGUUGGAAAGCUCCGGCGGUUGUGGAUGGACUCGCGGCCUAUCCGCUUGUUGGUGGGGUAGUGGCCUACCAAGGCGGCGACGGGUAGCCGGCCUGAGAGGGUGACCGGCCACAUUGGGACUGAGAUAAGGCCCAGACUCCGACGGGAGGGAGCAGUGGGGAAUAUUGCACAAUGGGCGCAAGCCUGAUGCAGCAACGCCGCGUGCGGGAUGACGGCCUUCGGGUUGUAAACCGCUUUCAGCAGGGACGAAGCUUUUUGUGACGGUACCUGCAGAAGAAGCACCGGCUAACUACGUG